UCUCUCUCUCUCUCUCUCUCUCUCUCUCUCUCUUGCCUGCAGGGGUUUGGUGGGAGAGGGAGGGAUUGACGGCGGAUAGUGAAGGGCAGAGCGGGGUACGCGCUUUCCCCGGCCGACCGAGUCCUGUUUGCGGCAGAUGGGUUGGCAGCGGCGAGAGAGGGGAAUCUCCGUUUCGAUCCGCAUUCCCGCGUCGUUUUCAGGCACUCCGAUGCGUACACUACUGCACACGCGUUUUCUUGCCCUUCUGGUCAGCCGCCGUUUAGAGAGAGAGAGAGAGAGCCAACACACAAGCAAAUUCUGACCUUCCCACGCGGAUUCAAUAUAUAUAUAUACUGAGAGAGAGAGAGAGAGAGAGAGAGAGAGAGAGAGAGAGAGAGAGAGGAUCUGCGCUGUCAGGGGGAGGAGGGAGGUUGGAGGGAUGGGAAGGUGAUGGGGGGGAAGGGAGAGGAUCAGUGAAGACCAUAUCUUAUAUUUACUGUACGAGAAUGGGAAAUAAAUACU
rnacentral:lncRNA from 1 species